rnacentral:rRNA from 1 species
AGAGUUUGAUCCUGGCUCAGGACGAACGCUGGCGGCGCGCCUAACACAUGCAAGUCGAACGAGCGAGAGAGAGCUUGCUUUCUCAAGCGAGUGGCGAACGGGUGAGUAACGCGUGAGGAACCUGCCUCAAAGAGGGGGACAACAGUUGGAAACGACUGCUAAUACCGCAUAAGCCCACGGCUCGGCAUCGAGCAGAGGGAAAAGGAGCAAUCCGCUUUGAGAUGGCCUCGCGUCCGAUUAGCUAGUUGGUGAGGUAACGGCCCACCAAGGCGACGAUCGGUAGCCGGACUGAGAGGUUGAACGGCCACAUUGGGACUGAGACACGGCCCAGACUCCUACGGGAGGCAGCAGUGGGGAAUAUUGCACAAUGGGGGAAACCCUGAUGCAGCGACGCCGCGUGGAGGAAGAAGGUCUUCGGAUUGUAAACUCCUGUUGUUGAGGAAGAUAAUGACGGUACUCAACAAGGAAGUGACGGCUAACUACGUGCCAGCAGCCGCGGUAAAACGUAGGUCACAAGCGUUGUCCGGAAUUACUGGGUGUAAAGGGAGCGCAGGCGGGAGAACAAGUUGGAAGUGAAAUCCAUGGGCUCAACCCAUGAACUGCUUUCAAAACUGUUUUUCUUGAGUAGUGCAGAGGUAGGCGGAAUUCCCGGUGUAGCGGUGGAAUGCGUAGAUAUCGGGAGGAACACCAGUGGCGAAGGCGGCCUACUGGGCACCAACUGACGCUGAGGCUCGAAAGUGUGGGUAGCAAACAGGAUUAGAUACCCUGGUAGUCCACACCGUAAACGAUGAUUACUAGGUGUUGGAGGAUUGACCCCUUCAGUGCCGCAGUUAACACAAUAAGUAAUCCACCUGGGGAGUACGACCGCAAGGUUGAAACUCAAAGGAAUUGACGGGGGCCCGCACAAGCAGUGGAGUAUGUGGUUUAAUUCGACGCAACGCGAAGAACCUUACCAAGUCUUGACAU